rnacentral:rRNA from 1 species
UACGGGGGGUGCGAGCGUUGUCCGGAAUCACUGGGCGUAAAGGGCGCGUAGGUGGUUUGAUAAGGGUGUGGUGAAAGUCCGGGGCUCAACCCCGGAUCUGCCGUGCCGACUGUCAAACUCGAGGGCUGUAGAGGCAGACGGAAUUCCGGGUGUAGCGGUGGAAUGCGUAGAGAUCCGGAGGAAGACCGGUGGCGAAGGCGGUCUGCUGGGCAGUUUCUGACACUGAAGCGCGACAGCGUGGGGAGCAAACAGG